rnacentral:rRNA from 1 species
GACGAACGCUGGCGGCGUGCCUAAUACAUGCAAGUAGAACGCACAGUUUAUACCGUAGCUUGCUACACCAUAGACUGUGAGUUGCGAACGGGUGAGUAACGCGUAGAUAACCUGCCUGGUAGCGGGGGAUAACUAUUGGAAACGAUAGCUAAUACCGCAUAAUAUUAAUUAUUGCAUGAUAAUUGAUUGAAAGGUGCAAAUGCAUCACUACCAGAUGGACCUGCGUUGUAUUAGCUAGUAGGUGAGGUAACGGCUCACCUAGGCGACGAUACAUAGCCGACCUGAGAGGGUGAUCGGCCACACUGGGACUGAGACACGGCCCAGACUCCUACGGGAGGCAGCAGUAGGGAAUCUUCGGCAAUGGACGAAAGUCUGACCGAGCAACGCCGCGUGAGUGAAGAAGGUUUUCGGAUCGUAAAGCUCUGUUGUAAGAGAAGAACGGGUGUGAGAGUGGAAAGUUCACACUGUGACGGUAUCUUACCAGAAAGGGACGGCUAACUACGUGCCAGCAGCCGCGGUAAUACGUAGGUCCCGAGCGUUGUCCAGAUUUAUUGGGCGUAAAGCGAGCGCAGGCGGUUAGAUAAGUCUGAAGUUAAAGGCUGUGGCUUAACCAUAGUACGCUUUGGAAACUGUUUAACUUGAGUGCAGAAGGGGAGAGUGGAAUUCCAUGUGUAGCGGUGAAAUGCGUAGAUAUAUGGAGGAACACCGGUGGCGAAAGCGGCUCUCUGGUCUGUAACUGACGCUGAGGCUCGAAAGCGUGGGGAGCGAACAGG